rnacentral:rRNA from 1 species
AGAGUUUGAUCCUGGCUCAGGACGAACGCUGGCGGCGUGCUUAACACAUGCAAGUCGAACGGAAAGGCCCUUUCGGGGGUACUCGAGUGGCGAACGGGUGAGUAACACGUGGGUGAUCUGCCCUGCACUUCGGGAUAAGCUUGGGAAACUGGGUCUAAUACCGGAUAGGACCGUGCCAUGCAUGUGGUGUGGUGGAAAGCUUUUGCGGUGUGGGAUGGGCCCGCGGCCUAUCAGCUUGUUGGUGGGGUGAUGGCCUACCAAGGCGACGACGGGUAGCCGGCCUGAGAGGGUGUCCGGCCACACUGGGACUGAGAUACGGCCCAGACUCCUACGGGAGGCAGCAGUGGGGAAUACUGCACAAUGGGCGCAAGCCUGAUGCAGCGACGCCGCGUGGGGGAUGACGGCCUUCGGGUUGUAAACCUCUUUCACCAUCGGUGAAGCCCAUGAUUUUUGUUGUGGGUGACGGUAGGUGGAGAAGAAGCACCGGCCAACUACGUGCCAGCAGCCGCGGUAAUACGUAGGGUGCGAGCGUUGUCCGGAAUUACUGGGCGUAAAGAGCUCGUAGGUGGUUUGUCGCGUUGUCCGUGAAAUUCCCUGGCUUAACUGGGGGCGUGCGGGCGAUACGGGCAGACUGGAGUACUGCAGGGGAGACUGGAAUUCCUGGUGUAGCGGUGGAAUGCGCAGAUAUCAGGAGGAACACCGGUGGCGAAGGCGGGUCUCUGGGCAGUAACUGACGCUGAGGAGCGAAAGCGUGGGGAGCGAACAGGAUUAGAUACCCUGGUAGUCC